AGUGAACGCUGGCGGUAGGCCUAACACAUGCAAGUCGAACGGCAGCACAGUAAGAGCUUGCUCUUACGGGUGGCGAGUGGCGGACGGGUGAGGAAUACAUCGGAAUCUACUUUUUCGUGGGGGAUAACGUAGGGAAACUUACGCUAAUACAGCAUACGACCUACGGGUGAAAGCAGGGGAUCUUCGGACCUUGCGCGAGUGAAUGAGCCGAUGUCGGAUUAGCUAGUUGGCGGGGUAAAGGCCCACCAAGGCGACGAUCCGUAGCUGGUCUGAGAGGAUGAUCAGCCACACUGGAACUGAGACACGGUCCAGACUCCUACGGGACGCAGCAGUGGGGAAUAUUGGACAAUGGGCGCAAGCCUGAUCCAGCCAUACCGCGUGUGUGUAGAAGGCCUUCGGGUUGUAAAGCCCUUUUGUUGGGAAAGAAAAGCAGCAGGUUAAUACCCCGCUGUUCUGACGGUACCCAAAGAAUAAGCACCGGCUAACUUCGUG
rnacentral:rRNA from 1 species